GGCACCAUCGAAGUGCUACAAACGAAAUGCACUUGCACCAGCAAGAUCAUGGUCUGCAAAACCUUAGAGCGUGAGUUCGAUUCUCACCCGCGCCUCCA
rnacentral:tRNA from 1 species